GACGGGGGGGGCAAGUGUUCUUCGGAAUGACUGGGCGUAAAGCGCACGUAGGCGGCUUCUUAAGUCAGGGGUGAAAUCCUGGAGCUCAACUCCAGAACUGCCUUUGAUACUGAGGAGCUUGAGUCCGGGAGAGGUGAGUGGAACUGCGAGUGUAGAGGUGAAAUUCGUAGAUAUUCGCAAGAACACCAGUGGCGAAGGCGGCUCACUGGCCCGGUACUGACGCUGAGGUGCGAAAGCGUGGGGAGCAAACAGG
rnacentral:rRNA from 1 species